GCAGAGCAUCCUACGGGAGGCAGCAUGGGGAAUAUUGCACAAUGGGCGCAAGCCUGAUGCAGCCAUGCCGCGUGUAUGAAGAAGGCCUUCGGGUUGUAAAGUACUUUCAGCAGUGAGGAAGGUGGGUAUGUUAAUAGCAUAUUCAUUUGACGUUAGCUGCAGAAGAAGCACCGGCUAACUCCAUGCCAGCAGCCGCGGUAAUACGGAGGGUGCGAGCGUUAAUCGGAAUUACUGGGCGUAAAGCGCAUGCAGGUGGUUUGUUAAGUCAGAUGUGAAAGCCCGGGGCUCAACCUCGGAAUUGCAUUUGAAACUGGCAAACUAGAGUACUGUAGAGGGGGUAGAAUUUCAGGUGUAGCGGUGAAAUGCGUAGAGAUCUGAAGGAAUACCGGUGGCGAAGGCGGCCCCCUGGACAGAUACUGACACUCAGAUGCGAAAGCGUGGGGAGCAAACAGGAUUAGAUACCCUGGUAG
rnacentral:rRNA from 1 species